rnacentral:rRNA from 1 species
GAUCCUGGCUUAGGAUGAACGCUAGCUACAGGCUUAACACAUGCAAGUCGAGGGGCAGCAUUUUAGUUUGCUUGCAAACUGAAGAUGGCGACCGGCGCACGGGUGAGUAACACGUAUCCAACCUGCCGAUAACUCCGGGAUAGCCUUUCGAAAGAAAGAUUAAUACCGGAUAGCAUACGAAUAUCGCAUGAUAUUUUUAUUAAAGAAUUUCGGUUAUCGAUGGGGAUGCGUUCCAUUAGUUUGUUGGG